UACGGAGGGUGCAAGCGUUAUCCGGAUUCACUGGGUUUAAAGGGUGCGUAGGUGGGUUGAUAAGUCAGUGGUGAAAUCCCCGAGCUUAACUUGGGAACUGCCAUCGAUACUAUUGAUCUUGAAUACCGUGGAGGUCAGCGGAAUAUGUCAUGUAGCGGUGAAAUGCUUAGAUAUGACAUAGAACACCAAUUGCGAAGGCAGCUGGCUACGCGAAUAUUGACACUGAUGCACGAAAGCGUGGGGAUCAAACAGG
rnacentral:rRNA from 1 species